rnacentral:rRNA from 1 species
UACGUAGGGGGCAAGCGUUAUCCGGAAUUACUGGGCGUAAAGCGCACGCAGGCGGUUCGCCAAGUUUGGAGUGACAGUUGUCGGCUCAACCGACAAAGGACUUCAAAAACUGGUGAGCUUGAGGACGAGAGAGGAACAUGGAACUCCAGGUGUAGUAGUGAAAUGCGUAGAUAUCUGGAAGAACACCAAUGGCGAAGGCAAUGUUCUGGCUCGUUUCUGACGCUGAGGAGCGAAAGCGUGGGGAGCGAACAGG